CAGAAACCUGGCUAAAACCUGAUGAUUACAUUAUUUUAAAUGAGUCUACCCCCCAAUAUUAGUGUUAUAAACAUGAGCCACAUCCAAAAGGUAAAGGGGGAGGUGUUGCUUCAAUUUAUAACAAUGUUCUCAGUAUUUCUCAGAGGGUGGGCUUCAAGUAUAACUUGUUUGAAGUAAUGGUGCUUCAUAUAACAUUAUCAAGAGAAACGAGUGUUAAUGAUAAAUCCCCUGUGAUGUUUGUACUGGCUACUGUAUACAGGCCACCAGGGCGCCAUACAGACUUUAUUAAAGAGUUUGCUGAUUUUACAUCCGAGUUAGUGCUGGCUGCAGAUAAAGUUUUAAUUGUUGGUGAUUUUAAUAUCCAUGUUGAUAAUGAAAAAGAUGCAUUGGGAUCAGCAUUUAUAGACAUUCUGAACUCUAUUGGGGUUAGACAACACGUCUCAGGACCUACACAUUGGCGAAAUCAUACUCUAGAUUUAAGACUGUCACAUGGAAUUGAUGUUGAUGGUGUUGAAAUUAUGCAGCCAAGCGAUGAUAUCUCAGAUCAUUAUUUAGUUUUGUGCAAACUUCAUAUAGCUAAAACUGUAAAUUCCACUUCUUGUUACAAGUAUGGUAGAACCAUCACUUCUACCACAAAAGACUGCUUUGUAAGUAAUCUUCCUGAUGUAUCCCAAUUCCUUAGCAUAUCCAAAACCUCAGAACAACUUGAUGAUGUAACAGAAACUAUGGACUCUCUCUUUUCUAGCAUUUUAAAUACAGUUGCUCCUUUACGCUUAAGGAAGGUUAAGGAAAACAGUCUGACACCGUGGUGUAAUGAGCACACUCGCACCCUAAAGAGAGCAGCCCGGAAAAUGGAGCGCAGCUGGAGGAAAACAAAACUAGAAGUAUUUCGUAUUGCUUGGAGGGAAAGUAACCUAUCUUACAGAAAAGCAUUAAAAACUGCUAAAUCUGAUUACUUUUCGUCUCUUUUAGAAGAAAACAAACAUAACCCCAGGUAUUUAUUCAAUACAGUGGCUAAAUUAACGAAAAAUAAAGCAUCAACAAGUGUUGACAUUUCUCAACAUCACAGCAGUAAUGACUUUAUGAACUACUUUACUUCUAAAGUCGAUACUAUUAGAGAUAAAAUUGUAACCAUGCAGCCAUCAGCUACAGUAUCGCAUCAGACAGUGCACAAUAGAUCCCCUGAGGAACAGUUCCACUCAUUCUCUACUAUAGGAGAGGAAGAAUUGUAUAAACUUGUUAAAUCAUCUAAACCAACAACAUGUAUGUUAGACCCUAUUCCAUCUAAGCUCCUAAAAGAGGUGAUUUCAGAAGUCAUAGAUCCUCUUCUGACUAUUAUUAAUUCCUCAUUGUCAUUAGGAUAUGUCCCCAAAACCUUCAAACUG
ensembl:lncRNA